rnacentral:lncRNA from 1 species
GCCCCUACAGAAUCAACUCUAGAAGAAAUGACUUUCAACGAAGGUACUAAUAAUAUAAAGAAUGAAAUCGUCCAUGCCCUCUGAUCUUGUUUGAACGGAACAAAACGUAUAACACACAAAACCAGUGAACCUUUCAUCUCCUCUAAACUGAACAACUUAUCUCCUCUAAACUGAACGAUGAAAUUUUCAAGCACUGAAACAUAAUACAUUAGUUCAAACAAGCACAUUUUUCUUAAAUCCGCAGAGCUACCUUCUAUUACCUAGAGCGAGGAUAACAACCAGUUUGAUACACGAGGCUAGCUGAAACGGAGCAUCCAAACGCCACAUCCUCUAGUCAAUUAGAAUCAGAGGUAGCUUUGCACACAGAUGUGGACAAGCAUUUCCCUGUGAGUGAAAAGUAAUCCUUGACUAAGCACUUCGAUUCUCUUAGAGUUAUCAUCAUCAACUCUGAUGUAUCAUCUACCGUUUUGACAUUCCACAAAUUCACCAUUAUGUAGCAGUCAGAUUCAAAGGCCACCUCCCUCCAGGCUUCUUAAAUUGCAGUAUAAUGCCAUUCCUGAAGGCAACCAUUUACGCCAUGAGAGAAUUAAGAACCUACUUUGAGUAGUUGCAAGAACAAACUCCCCUGUAGUGGGUCUUGUGUACAUGCAACUUCAUUUAGUGGAGCAGAUGGUGGUGGUGCUUGCUGCAGUGCCCCCACACGUAUAGAAGACCUCAAGAACGGGGUCCCUAUGCGCCCUUAGGCCGCCGUCUCCGCACGUCUUGCAACCGCCGGUGCUGCAUGCUCUGCAGCUCUAUCCUUGUAGUGGGAGAACCGAGGGACACGAGAGGGAGAAGAGAUGAUGUGGCCUCACCUACUUCGGCCGCCCCAGAUGUGUUGCCGCCAUGGACCUUGAAGCUCCCAUCGCCAAUUAUAUGCGAGGAGGCACCAUGCGCGGCAAGGGAAGAACCCGUACAGGCCAACGGCGAAAGAGAUCGAGGCUGGUAUCAACUCUGGAGUACCGACUAUUGGCCGAUCAAAAUUGAAGCCAUCAUCCGAAAUUCACGAUCUCGUGAGAAUAAAAUUAGAUUGAUACACAGGGAUUGCUCCAUUCGUCGCUGCUCAACAGUAAUAGGAAGGCCAUGCUGACGACAUAGCGGCAACCCACCGGCGUGGAGUCUCUGUUCAACACCAGGCUGUUGGGUUCCUGCGCUUCUAGGACGACCUUCGCGUCACCCUGACAUGCUACUGCUCAUGUGCCUCCGUGAGAUAUUUAGGGCCUGUUCUUUUG